GUAGUAAUUGGUAUGGGUUUCUCACUUAACUGAAAUACAUUCUUAUUUGAACCCUAAUGCUUUACUUUUAAACUAUGGCAGAACUUCUAAGAAAAUCAAAUCUGUAAAAGUUGUAGCUAGGAUUCUGCACUAGGAUUUUGUAUCAAAAUAUAGAAAAAGAUUGGUGCUGCUUUUUAUUAUGGCAAGCUUUGAAAAUGUUCGUUCAUGUAAAGAGGCUGUAUCCAAAUAAAACUGUCUGGUGUGAGGACAUUAGCAGUGUGCUGCAGAUUGGGCUUUCACUGUCCAAUCAGAGUGGUAUACGUUUUGUUCCAUUACGAUCCAUGAUAGCUUGUGGUUCUCAGUGAUAAGCUGGAAGUAGGGAGUACUAAACAGUUACUUACCAUCGUCGUCUUACAAAAAUCCAAGGUUUUCACAGGCUUUGCAUUUUGAAGCAAUAAGACAUCUGCUAGGACUUGUUAGUUGUAACUGGUUUAUAUUUUUUUUCAUGGCAUAAUUGGAUGUAUAGACCAUUGCAAGAAUGGUUUACUUUCAUCUCUGCCUAUCUUUUUUGGACUGGUGAUCAGCUUUUCUCUUUUGGACUUCAGCGUGAGCCACUGAACUACACAGAUUGCUUGACGGGAACAGUAUGUGAAGGAUCAAAUUUCGUUUCCUCCUUUUAGGGACCAGUCUACAAACAGAAAAAACGUGUACCUGAAGGCCACUUCACAGAUGACAUUUCUGCCUAGCCUCUGUUUAGAGAUAAAAGUGUACUCAGUCAUGUGUGUAAAGGUCACACAUGUGCCUAAUUUACUGGGAGUACAUAUGUUCAGAAAGUCUUCGUUUUCUAAUGACUUGGGCUGCACUUCUCAGCUUAUUUAGCUGUGUGUCUGCUUCUGCUUUGUGCUUUACUAGUUUCUGCUGUGUUGGAUCAUCCCAGAAUGAAAAGUUAUAAGAAGAGCAUUUGUUGUUGAGCAGAAAAGAAUCCUUGAUGGAGAAAACUUUUUUCACUUUCAGUUCACUUAUUUAGCUCUGGCUCAAGCCCCAAGGACUGUCUCUCAUCUGCCAGAAAAAUACUUUUUACUCCUUGAAGCUUGGAACUGUUCAGUCUCACUGCUCUCCAAGCAGUGUCAAUGCCAAAAACCUGUUUCCGUUAGUAUUUGAUACCAAGUUCGAUCCGUUAGAUGCAUGUUGUAAUUUCUUGCUGAAAAUGGUUAUAAAGCCAUGUAUUGUACUCGGAUAAACUAAGAAUACUGAAGUCAUUCUCCAUUACAAAAAAGUGACAUUUUGAAACUAGAUGCCAUCCUGUCUAAAAAGACACACUGGCUAACAUACUCAACGUAGUCCCAUUGAAAUGAAAAGGGUUUCCUGUUGGUGAAACUCUGACAUUGUCAGACCCCCUUGAACUCUCCUCCUCAUUUACCCGAGACCCAGGUUUUUGCUUUGGACGGAGCACUCAACUAGCUGCCUUGAUGCCAAAGGCUUGAUAUUCAAAGUAACUCUCCCCACACACCCCAGCUUGCUUUUUCCUGGGUGGCCCCAGUAGUCCCAGAAGUAGCUGGGCCACUCAAGCACCUAGCAAUUUCAGUCGGACUGCUUUGAGUAAUUUUCCUCUCUCUGUCAAUUAUAUACCACACUGUACAAGCAUAAUGUCAGUAGUCCUCUUGGACAACUGAAGCAUUUUUUUUAGAUCUCAUAGAAUGGAUAGGAACUGCAUGUGAAUGACACAAUGUUAAUUGUAAUUUUAUUGUGCUUAUAUGAUGUUUGUUCAACUCCUGAUAACUAAAGCACUUUUUUACUGAAUUAAAAUUGGAGGCACUUCUUACUUUUACAGCCCAAAACAUGCACUUGGAAAGUGUGUAAAAGUAAGGCACCUUUUAAAGGUGGUGAUUCUCUUUAUUUAGCAGAGGGAGAGUAACUGGCCCUAUCCACCCCCAGCACAGUACCUCCAGUGACUGUUGCUGCUGGUGUCUAUCUUAUGUUUCUUUUUAGCUUGUGAGCCCUUUGGGGACAGGGAUCCAUCUUAUUUAUUUAUUUCUCUAUGUAAACUGCUUUGGAAACUUUUGUUGAAAAGCGGUAUAUAAAUAUUUGUUGUUGUUGUUGUUA